rnacentral:rRNA from 1 species
ACGCUCGACACCUCGGGAGGUAGCAGUAGGGAAUCUUCCACAAUGGGCGCAAGCCUGAUGGAGCAACACCGCGUGAGUGAAGAAGGGUUUCGGCUCGUAAAGCUCUGUUGUUGGAGAAGAACGUGCGUGAGAGUAACUGUUCACGCAGUGACGGUAUCCAACCAGAAAGUCACGGCUAACUACGUGCCAGCAGCCGCGGUAAUCUGAGCGGGCUGGCAAGGC